ACCCUGCAGUUCCAUUUGUCCGUGGAUACCCUGAUGGGUACCCUCCGUGUGAUGCGCGGAAAGCUGUAGGAGACGUGGAUGCAAGUGUUUAUAGCAUCUUCUUGAAUGGCCCCAGACUGGAAGCAGCCCAAGUGUCCAUCGACAACAGAAUGCUCAAAUAAAUUGUAGUGUAGUUAUAUACACGGUGGAAUAUACAAUGAAACUGAAUGAGCUGCAGUUACAAGCAAGAGACUGGAUGAAUGGAAAACAAUUUUGAGCAAAGGAAGCAAGACCGAAACGUGCAAAUAGUACCUUUGUGAUUCCAAUCCUAAAAUUCAGUCAAAAUCAGGCUAAAAUGGAGCACGCUGGUGGUUCAGUGGUUAAGAAUCCGGGUUCAGUUAAGAAAACAAAGGUGGUUCUGCAGAGGGAAAUUAAUACCCUGAGCUAGUAUAAAGGUCCGCUGCUGUUGCUGCUAAGUCGCUUCAGUCGUGUCCGACUUUGUGCGACCCCAUAGACGGCAGCCCACCAGGCUCCUCUGUCCACAGGAUUCUCUAGGCAAGAAUACUGGAGUGGAUUGCCAUUUCCUUCUCCAAUAAAGGUCUAGAAAGAGCUGAAAACAGUCACAGAGCUGACAAGGUCAAGGGUGAUCAUUAAAAGCCCAUUGUCUCCGAAGAGCCGCUUUUGCACCAAGCAGGGGUUUGAAAUCGAACAAGGUCAGUGCAUUAACUGCAAUCAAAGGCUGCUGGAAGCUCCCGAACUCUUGCUGCUGCCUCUGCGGUGAAUAUGGUCCUGACUCUCCCAUCAUAGGGUCGCCUGGAAGGGCUGCUUCCAUUCAGACCCUGCAAACCUGUCUGGAACAUCGUCAUAGAAGAGACUGGCUCCCUGGACCUGAGCGGGUGCGGUUACUGAGCGCGGGCAGGCGUCCUGCAGCUUCCAGCCCCGGAGAAAGCAGGCCCUCCAUGUGA
rnacentral:lncRNA from 1 species